AUUGAACGCUGGCGGCAGGCCUAACACAUGCAAGUCGAACGAGUGGCGGACGGGUGAGUAAUGUCUGGGAAACUGCCUGAUGUAGGGGGCUAACUACUGGAAACGGUAGCUAAUACCGCAUACCAUCAGAUGUGCCCAGAUGGGAUUAGCUUGUUGGUGGGGUAACGGCUCACCAAGGCGACGAUCCCUAGCUGGUCUGAGAGGAUGACCAGCCACACUGGAACUGAGACACGGUCCAGACUCCUACGGGAGGCAGCAGUGGGGAAUAUUGCACAAUGGGCGAAAGCCUGAUGCAGCCAUGCCGCGUGUAGGAAGAAGGUCUUCGGGUUGUAAAGUACUUUCAGCGGGGAGGCGGUACCCGAAGAGGAAGCGCCGGCUAACUCCGUGCCAGCAGCCGCGGUAAUUC
rnacentral:rRNA from 1 species